rnacentral:rRNA from 1 species
UACGGAGGGAGCUAGCGUUGUUCGGAAUUACUGGGCGUAAAGGGCGCGUAGGCGGCCUACUAAGUCGAACGUGAAAUCCCCGGGCUUAACCCGGGAACUGCGUCCGAUACUGGUUGGGCUUGAAUCCGGGAGAGGGAUGUGGAAUUCCAGGUGUAGCGGUGAAAUGCGUAGAUAUCUGGAGGAACACCGGUGGCGAAGGCGGCAUCCUGGACCGGUAGUUGACGCUGAGGCGCGAAAGCCAGGGGAGCAAACGGG